UACGUAGGCAGCGAGCGUUGUUCGGAGUUACUGGGCGUAAAGGGUGCGUAGGCGGUUGUGUAAGUUUGGUGUGAAAUCUCCCGGCUCAACUGGGAGGGUGCGCCGAAUACUGAAUGACUAGAGUGCGGGAGAGGAGAGUGGAAUUCCUGGUGUAGCGGUGAAAUGCGUAGAUAUCAGGAGGAACACCGGUGGUGUAGACGGCUCUCUGGACCGUAACUGACGCUGAGGCACGAAAGCGUGGGUAGCAAACAGG
rnacentral:rRNA from 1 species